AUGUGUUUGUGUUUUUUUAUUAUUUCAAAGGGUGACAGAGGACUUACAGGAGACAAAGGAGAAAAAGGCUACUGCAUCGCACAUCACACUAAUGUCAAAGGUGAACCAGGCCUGCCUGGACAGAGAGGUAAACCUGGCAAAGAUGGAGAGGAUGGGCUGAAGGUAACAAUAACUUACUGUAUUGUCUGCCUACUGUACUCUACCGUCCAGCUGUUGCUUUUAUAUUAUGAAAUAUUUAUCACUAAAGAGCGUAAAUACUUUCAUACAGGGAGAAAAAGGCUUUUCUGGAUCUCCUGGAUACAUUGGUUCCAAGGUGACAAAUACACCUAUAUUUACUCCUCACAUAUUCUAGGCUUUAAUCUGAUAGUCAGACAAACUAAAUUCUCUGUUUCGUUUCAGGGUGAGAAGGGAGAAAGAGGACCACCAGGUUAUGUAAGUUAUUGCCAUUAUCCCACUUUUCCAUGACUCACCCACUCUCUCUCUUUCUCUCUCACUCUUGGUCCCAUCAGCUACAAAGAGGAUAAACUACUAGCAAAUGUCACCACAUAUUCAUUCAGUUAAAUUGUGAGAGCAUGUAAAAGGGGCAAGCCGGGGAAUUAAACUAGCCUGAAAAUAUGACAUCAAAUUACAUCACUUGAGUCCGGCCUCAAAAUUUCCGUCACAAAAAAUGGGCAGGCAUCAUUAAUCUUUGUAAUUCUGUAAUUGCAGGGUAAUGGGGCCCCCGGUCCUCCUGGUCCUCCUGGUUUCCCAGGGUUAAUAGGAGAAAAAGGUGAAGUUAGGCCAUUGCAUGCCACCAAAUGUUCAUACACAUAUGCUGAAACAUAGGCACGCAAAUAUGCAAAAACACAUACCUUGGAUCACAAUAACCAUGUUUUUCUUUCCUUUUUGGUUUCUUCUUAAUCCACAGGUUUUCCUGGUCCUCAAGGAGAGGCAGGUCCCCCAGGUAAAAUAGCACAAUAUUUCAACACUGCAUUAAGGCUGCAUAUAUCAGUCAGACACAAUAAUGCACCAACUGGCUUGCCUUGUGUUGUACUUCAGGCCGGCACAUUGAAGGACCCCGUGGAGAGAGGGGUCAGAAGGGAGACAUGGGUGAGAAGGGAGACAUGGGUGUAGAAGGAGAGUCUCUCGUUGGACCUCCAGGACAACCAGGGACCACUGGACCCCCUGGACCACCUGGACAACCGAGUAUGCCUUAUCUUUCAAUAUUCCAGUCAUUUCAAAAGAUGUCAACAAAGGAACACCUGCAUAACCUAAUGUGUGUAUGUGUGUGUGUUUGUCUUGAAUGCUUGUGUUGCUUGUGUGCUAUGACAUGGCCACACAGUUGACCCUAAUGAAUGUGACAUUAAGGAAGGAGCUCCUGGCCCACCUGGACCUCCAGGGUUGCAAGGGGAAUUGGGACAGAAAGGUAACAACAUCUGCAAUUAGUGCCGAUCAAUACAAUCCAUCAAUGAAUGAAUCCAUUAAAAUUAUAUCUUUUCUAUCUUUGAAGUAUAGCAAUAUCUUUGUGGGCACAUGAACCACAUACAUCAAUGCAUCAAUAGUACCCACAGAGGGGGCGGUGCAUUCUCGAGGAUGUUUCAGCACCAAGGACAGCACUCGGCGCUCUAUGUGCACUGAUUGAUGGAUCAGCACCACCGCCGAUAGACGGCUUGCCUGUGGCUUGUCGCUGUCUAUUGUCUGUAGUGCUGAACGGCCACACACCAAGUGCCCUGUUUCAGUAGUAUGUCUCAGGAAAAAACAUAAAAUAUACACAGCAAUCUACAUUACUACAAGGCCUAUUCAGAUACAAAGUAGACAGUCUACAACACCACUGGCAGUGACACAGACAAGGUGCCAAGACGCAAACAUUGAGUUAAACAACAGAUUAAUCGAACAUUUUGACUGAUUUCUUCAUAACCAUCAUUUUAAGUUAAUAAAAACUAAUUAUAAAUGUUUCACUGACCAAAUGUUGAGCCUACUCAGCCUGCUUUAAAGUUAGUUUAGUUUGACAGUCUUUGUGUAUUCCACCAGAUAAUUUGAACAGGUUAAUGAACUUUGUACAUACCAUGGCCCCUUGGGCAGCCGCCCCCUCUGCCCCCACAGUCCCUCCACUUAUGGACUACAGACAUUUACAUCAUGUUUUGUCAACUGAU
rnacentral:lncRNA from 15 species